rnacentral:tRNA from 1 species
GGGCGCGUAGUGGAGUGGUUACCACGUUGGUCUUCGAUUCGUGUGCUUAUGCUUACGGAAUUCACAACCAAAGUUCGUCGGUUCGAUCCCGGCCGUGCUCA